rnacentral:rRNA from 1 species
UACGUAGGGUGCAAGCGUUGUCCGGAAUUAUUGGGCGUAAAGAGCUCGUAGGCGGUUUGUCGCGUCUGCUGUGAAAACGCGGGGCUCAACUCCGCGCCUGCAGUGGGUACGGGCAGACUAGAGUGCAGUAGGGGAGACUGGAAUUCCUGGUGUAGCGGUGGAAUGCGCAGAUAUCAGGAGGAACACCGAUGGCGAAGGCAGGUCACUGGGCCGCAACUGACGCUGAGGAGCGAAAGCGUGGGGAGCGAACAGG